GAGUUUGAUCCUGGCUCAGGACGAACGCUGGCGGCGUGCCUAAUACAUGCAAGUCGAGCGAUGACAGAUGGGAGCUUGCUCCCUGAUGUUAGCGGCGGACGGGUGAGUAACACGUGGGUAACCUGCCUGUAAGACUGGGAUAACUCCGGGAAACCGGGGCUAAUACCGGAUGGUUGUUUGAACCGCAUGGUUCAAACAUAAAAGGUGGCUUCGGCUACCACUUACAGAUGGACCCGCGGCGCAUUAGCUAGUUGGUGAGGUAACGGCUCACCAAGGCGACGAUGCGUAGCCGACCUGAGAGGGUGAUCGGCCACACUGGGACUGAGACACGGCCCAGACUCCUACGGGAGGCAGCAGUAGGGAAUCUUCCGCAAUGGACGAAAGUCUGACGGAGCAACGCCGCGUGAGUGAUGAAGGUUUUCGGAUCGUAAAGCUCUGUUGUUAGGGAAGAACAAGUGCCGUUCGAAUAGGGCGGUACCUUGACGGUACCUAACCAGAAAGCCACGGCUAACUACGUGCCAGCAGCCGCGGUAAUACGUAGGUGGCAAGCGUUGUCCGGAAUUAUUGGGCGUAAAGGGCUCGGCAGGCGGUUUCUUAAGUCUGAUGUGAAAGCCCCCGGCUCAACCGGGGAGGGUCAUUGGAAACUGGGGAACUUGAGUGCAGAAGAGGAGAGUGGAAUUCCACGUGUAGCGGUGAAAUGCGUAGAGAUGUGGAGGAACACCAGUGGCGAAGGCGACUCUCUGGUCUGUAACUGACGCUGAGGAGCGAAAGCGUGGGGAGCGAACAGGAUUAGAUACCCUGGUAGUCC
rnacentral:rRNA from 1 species